GAAAAACAAUGUUAUCACCCUAUUCAAAGGGUUGAAAGAGUCUUGUUUGGAGUUGUGUGGGGUUGGAUAAUUAUGUUUGUAAUAUUUCAGAAGUUGGCAGAAAAAGAAAAAAAAUAGAAAAUAAAAAAUAAAAGAAUGAAAAAAAAUAGAAAAGAAAAAAAAGGAAUAAAAAAAUAGAAGGAUAUGAGGAAGAAAAAAAAAGGGAAUUAUGUUUGUAAUAUUUCAAUACAUGUCAAUACAUAAUCCUUCAAAUAAAAAGAAUAAAAAGAGGAAGGAGAAGAGAAAACAAUUGCUAUAGAGUUGUUCAAGUGAAUGGAAUAUUUUGUAAAUUCAACUCCCGCAGUUUCUUUCAAGUCUCUUUUAUCUCUUUGAAUUUUAGCCUAAUACCCCUU
rnacentral:lncRNA from 1 species